UGCACAAGGAAGAAAGAAACCACUCGCUUGUUAUCAAUUAUCGUCUCCCCUUUUCUCCUCCAUUCCAUUUCCAUUCCGCCAUGGAUUCCACAGACAACAUCCCCAUGGAAACCACCCUUGAAGAAUCCCAGCAGGAACAAAUUCCACUUUCCCUAAUACCCACUGCUUCAAUUUCACUUUCUUUAUCUACUCUCAUUCCUUCCCAUUUCAUCCCUCCCAAACCAAUCACCAAUCUACCCACCAAAGCCAAAAUCCCCAAUCGAAUUUCGUCUCUUUCCCAAUUAUCCCUCGCCUCUACGCUCGCCCCUUCGAAACUCUUCUCGAAGACCACCGUUUCAGCUAACCCUUUGCAAAGCGCCCUCACUCUAACCCCUCUCCGCCCUUCAAAUCCCCCCGGCGCCGCCGCGGUCCGCAGAGUCGCAGUCGUGUGGUUCCGGAACGACCUCCGCAUCCACGACAACGAAUGUCUAACCACCGCUAACAACGAGUGCCUGUCCGUGCUUCCGGUUUACUGCUUCGACCCCCGAGACUACGGAAAAUCGUCUUCAGGGUUCGACAAAACGGGGCCUUACCGAGCCACAUUUUUGAUAGAGUCCGUUUCCGACCUGCGGAAGAAUCUGCAGGCUCGUGGGUCGGAUCUGGUGGUGAGGGUCGGGAUGCCGGAAAACGUGUUGUUGGAAAUGGCGAAAGCCGUGCGGGCAGAUGUUGUGUAUAUGCAUAGAGAGGUUUCGCGCGGGGAAGUUAAGGAGGAGGAGAAGAUUGGAGAGAUUAUGAAGGAUGAGGGAGUGGAGGUGAAGUACUUCUGGGGAAGCACGUUGUACCACUUGGAGGAUUUGCCUUUUGAGCUGGAGCAUAUGCCCAGGAAUUAUGGCAAGUUCAAGGAGAAAGUGAAAGGGUUGGAUGUGAGGCAGACGAUUGAAGCCCUGGAUAGGAUGAAGGGUUUGCCUAGAAGAGGGGAUGUGGAGCCCGGGGAAAUUCCUUCUUUGGUGGAUUUGGGUCUAAACCCUAAUGCUGCAAUGGGCCAGAAUGGAAGAACUGCAGCUAAUGUGUCUCUUGUGGGUGGGGAGACUGAAGCAUUGCAGAGACUGAAAACUUUUUCCACUGAAUGCAAGGCAAAGCCGACUGGAAAUAAGAACGGGACCAAUGACAGCAUAUAUGGCGCUAAUUUUUCGUGCAAAAUAUCACCCUGGUUAGCGGUUGGGUGCCUUUCUCCUCGAACCAUGUUUGAUGAGCUGAAAAUGUCUGCUUCCAGCAUGAUAUCUGCUGCCUCCAACAAGAAACAUGGAGGAAGCGGAGCAAGUGAUACCGGAACAAACUGGUUGAUGUACGAACUAUUGUGGAGGGAUUUUUUCAGAUUGAUAACUAGGAAAUACAGCACGGCGAAGCAACCGAUUCAUGCCCCAGCCCCAGCCCCAGCCUGCACCUGAGGUAGGUUGCAAUAGACCUGUCGGCGAUUCCAAUUCAGCCGCCCGUUGUCGAGAAAAUUAGGAAGAUAUUCAGAGUGAUUAUGGUUGAAGCUGAGAAAUAUUUGCCGCGUGUCCUAGUCGUGCUGUUUACACAGCCAUGAGAGCGAGUUCGGCUGGAGUGGCAUGGGCUAUUGUUUCGGACCGUUUCAGGCAGCAAAGUUAGCUGAAGUCAGUUGGGGAGUGUGGGUUGUCGUGUGGUGGGCAUAAAUGGGGGAGUCAAUGUGAACAUGUGCAGCUGCUAAACAGAAAUGAAACUACAGAGGAAAUCGGGAAUAGAAAUGGUACCCACCAAUUGGGUUGACGUUGCCCCAGUAGGUCUCCACCUGCGGGUGCUGCAAAGGAUCGCCAUAAACCUCACUGGUGCUUGUUAGUAGAAACCGUGCACCGACUCUCUUGGCCAAUCCCAGCAUGUUCAAUGUUCCCACCACAUUCGAUAUGAUAGUUUUGACGGGGUUGUGCUUGUAGUGAACAGGCGAAGCAGGGCAAGCGAGAUGGUAGAUCUGGUCGACUUCUAAGAGGAUCGGCUCGACGACGUCGUGUCGGAUCAGCUCGAAGUUUGGGUUCCCGAAAUGGUGCACCACGUUCUCCUUUCUCCCCGUGAAGAAAUUGUCGGCCACAAUCACGCUAUCUCCCCUGUUAAUUAAACGAUC